UACGUAGGGAGCAAGCGUUGUCCGGAAUCAUUGGGCGUAAAGAGCGCGUAGGCGGCCAGAUAAGUCCGGUGUGAAAGUCAAAGGCUCAACCUUUGAAUGCCGCUGGAAACUGUCUGGCUAGAGUCCGGGAGGGGCGAGUGGAAUUCCUGGUGUAGCGGUGAAAUGCGCAGAUAUCAGGAGGAACACCAAUGGCGAAGGCAGCUCGCUGGAACGGUACUGACGCUGAGACGCGAAAGCGUGGGGAGCAAACAGG
rnacentral:rRNA from 1 species